CUAUUCAUCCCCAUUAUGGUCUCUGGAGGAAUGGUUGCAGUACAGUCUUUAUGUCCUGGACAGAGCAUCACGUAAAGGACCAGUUUUACUAAGUUCUGAGAGGUAUGUGACAUUAUCAUGACCAGGAUUUUGGACAGGAACUUAUGAUGAAGUUUUGAUAAAUGUGACAUUUCGACUCCAUUGGAUACGGAGAUAUUUCAUCAUGGAUAGUGAUUGUGUACUUCCUUUCAUCGAUAAAAAUGAUGGAUAUUUGUGAAUAACAAAGUCAACAUAUUUCUGAAAAACAGUGAUGUCAAUAAUUUAAAU